CCGACGCCGCUGGGGCCACCACCGCAGUUGGUUUCCAGCAGCAGCUCUGGCCUCUUCUCGGCUGCGGGAGCAGCUUCUCCAAUGCCCCAGAGCGGCCAUGAGCUCCCCGCACUGGUGGGACCAGCUGCGGGCUGGCAGCUCGGAGGUGGACUGGUGCGAGGACAACUACACCAUCGUGCCUGCCAUCGCCGAGUUCUACAACACGAUCAGCAACGUCUUGUUUUUCAUUUUACCGCCCAUCUGCAUGUGCUUGUUUCGUCAAUAUGCAACAUGCUUCAACAGUGGCAUCUACUUAAUAUGGACUCUGUUAGUUGUAGUGGGAAUUGGAUCCGUCUACUUCCAUGCAACCCUUAGUUUCCUGGGUCAGAUGCUUGAUGAACUUGCAAUCCUUUGGGUUCUGAUGUGUGCUCUGGCCAUGUGGUUCCCCAGAAGGUAUCUACCAAAGAUCUUUCGGAAUGACAGGGGCAGGUUCAAGGUGGUGGUCUGCGUCCUGUCUGCAGUUACAACGUGCCUGGCGUUUGUCAAGCCUGCCAUCAACAACAUCUCUCUGAUGACCCUGGGGGUUCCUUGCACGGCGCUGCUCGUUGCUGAGCUAAGGAGGUGUGACAACGUGCGCGUUUUUAAGCUGGGCCUCUUCUCGGGCCUCUGGUGGACCCUCGCCCUCUUCUGCUGGAUCAGUGACCGGGCCUUCUGUGAGCUGCUGUCGUCCUUCCACUUUCCCUACCUGCACUGCGUGUGUGGUUGUGGUUUUUCUUGGGCCUUUUGUUAGCUGGGAUGUCUGGAAGACCAGUGGGCUUGAUUAAAUUGGGGAAAGCAUUAACCACGAUAAUUUUUCAAGAGGCCCUUGUGGCAGGACAUGAGGACCACGGCAGACUGCAAAAAUGACCGCAUCACUUUGCAAUUCCUCCCAUGAAGAGAUGAGGUCUAUUCCCCAAGCCUCUGAAUCUGGGCUGGCCUUAUGCCUUGAAUUGACUAAUAGAAUGUGGUGGAAAUGACAGUGUGCAGAUUCUGAACUAGAUCUUUGUGGCUUUGCGGCUUUCACUUUCACUACUCUUUCAUUUUCACUACAUUCACUACUCCAUCAUGUGAAUAAGCCCAGGCUAGCCUGCUUAAGGAUACAAGACCAGUGGAACAGAGACAAGGUGUUCCAGCUGACACACGCCUACACCAACCAGCCCUCAGCCGUAUAAGUAAGUAGCAGAACUGUCAGGCUGAGCCCCACCUAAAUCACCAACUCAUAGAAUUAUGGGCCAAAAAAAUGCUUGUUGUUUUAAGCCACUAAGUUUUGGGGUGGUGUGUUACACAGCAAGAGCUAACUGACACAAGAUCAAGCCUAAUGAAACUCUCCUGAGCUGAGCAUGAGUAAGAAGCCACCUACUGGCCUUUGUAUCAAUCGGCAUGCUUUCGUUCGGCAUUUCAUGUACGCAAAGAAUGACCAUAUAACUCAAACCGGCAUGCUUUGAGAGUAAACUCGGACUAGCUCAGGCAAACGGGGAUAUAUGGUCACCUUAAAUUAGCAAUAUUGUACUGAUAGUUAUCUCUUUAUGCUUUCCUGAAUCACAGAAUGUCACCGCUGGCAGGGAAUCUAGAGAGCUUCCUCCACUCCUGUAUUUCACAGAGGAGGAAAUAUGGGGUCCAGAGUUGAGAAGUAACUUUCCCAUGAUUGCACAGCUCAUGAAUCGUGUGGGAAAAGCCACUGUAGUAAAUGGUAGCAUGAGAACGCUCCAGAGUCAGGAGACUUGGGUUCGAGUCUAGCUGCUCUCACUAGUACAGCUGUGCAAUCUUGCUCUGUAGUUCUAUGUGGUCAUGCUUUGUUUCCUCUACUGAGUUUAGAGCAUCUUAAAAAUGGGAAUUGUGACUGAUGUGUCUUUAUAUCUUUUUUAGGGCAUAAGCCUGAUGCCUGGCAUAUAAUAGGUGCUCAAUAAAUAUUUGCUGAGGAAAUCUAGAAACACCCAGUGUUCUACCUAGGAGUCUCAUUUCUGCUUGGAACAGCACAUGGUAUACUCAGAAAGAAACAGAAAAAAAUCCAGUCCAUCCAGGGAUGGCCCUUGGGGGUGCAGUGAGGAAAAGCCCCAUUGGCUACCCCAGCGCACGCUGCAGGGGCUGGCUCCCACGAGAUGCUGCUCAGCGAAUGACCAGUCAGCAGUACUACAGGGGGGACAUCAUGUUCAGCUGUAUUUGCUUGCUUUGAACCCCUCAGGAUAAGAGUAUCAGCCUCUGUUUCGAUCCAGGUAACUACAGCCAUGGUGGAAUCCUGUUUGCUGUCUAGGAGUUACAGGUUGAGAACUCUGAUCUUCCCUAACAGUUUCCUUGACCUAUCAGAUCAGAUCACGGAGGGGACGAACACUUUGCCAGCCUUUGCUCUAAGAGUCCCAUGCAACCCUGUGAUUCUAGGGCCUUGAGUCAUAGGCAGCUUCCUCCCAUUCCUGCACAUCUUCCUGAUGGCUUCAGCAGUUCUGUGCUGACAUCAAUCACUCAUUUGUUAAAAAUUUAUUUAUUUAUUUAUUUUGCGGUACGCAGGCCUCUCACUG